rnacentral:rRNA from 1 species
UAGCGGAGGAAAAGAAACUAUACAAGGAUUCCCCUAGUAACGGCGAAGUGAACCGGGAAAAGCUUCAAAUUUGAAAUCUGGCGUCCUCAGGGCGUCCGAGUUGUAAUCUAUAGAGGCGUUUUCCGUGCCGGACCGUGUCCAAGUCCCUUGGAACAGGGUAUCAAAGAGGGUGACAAUCCCGUACUUGACACGACUACCGGUGCUCUGUGAUACGUCUUCUACGAGUCGAGUUGUUUGGGAAUGCAGCUCAAAAUGGGUGGUGAGUUCCAUCUAAAGCUAAAUAUUGGCGAGAGACCGAUAGCGAACAAGUACCGUGAGGGAAAGAUGAAAAGCACUUUGGAAAGAGAGUUAAACAGUACGUGAAAUUGUUGAAAGGGAAACGAUUGAAGUCAGUCGUGACCGAGAGGCUCAGCCGGCUCUGCCGGUGUAUUCCCCUCGGUCGGGUCAACAUCAGUUUUGUCCGGUGGAUAAGGGCGGUAGGAAGGUGGCACCCACGGGUGUGUUAUAGCCUGCCGUCGCAUACACUGGGUGAGACUGAGGAAUGCAGCUCGCCUUUAUGGCCGGGGUUCGCCCACGUCCGAGCUUAGGAUGUUGACAUAAUUGGCUUGUAAACGACCCGUCUAA